CAUACUAUAGAAGCGCUCCUGGACUGAGAAGCAUCUUGGUCCCAAAGGGCGAGUCAAUUGAUUACAGAGGUGUUCUUCAUCAUGAUGGCUCUGUUUUGAUGCCAGUUUCCUUGGAUCAAUUGGAGGUUGCGAUACAAGUCACGGACCAGAAGACCAUAAGCAGGCAUUCGAUGCUUCUCGCUUUGCCUAAUCCAGCAGUAGGGCGUCACUGACAGGGUGGCGCACAACUCUGCUUUCAUGGACUAUCCACGAGUCGGGGACGACUAAUUGAGCGUGCGGCUGGUUGAAGCAAACGACAAUCUGGCAGCAGCAGCUUGUGGUGAGUUUUCUUGAGUUUCCUAACCCCUAUCUGCAAUUCUGUUCCAAAUUGAGAAUAAAUAUUGAUUGACUAAUUGAAUUCCAGAAUGAUGUAUCAUAGUAUGCAUUCUUCUUAUUUGAACAAAGGUGGAAUUUUUUAGGCUUUCUAAGCUGGAUCAGCAGCACCUGUUAGAUGCUUGCAAAUGGACACAUUAAGAAUUCAGGAGCCCAAAGAUUAGGUAGCCGCUCAAACUUAUCAAUAUGAAGCAUACCUUUACAAAAAAAUAUUGUAUGAAUUCUAAGAUGCCUUCUUCGAUUCUAACUUGUAUUCAAUGUUUCACUUGUUAUAUAUUCCUUUGGUGAAGUUGUCCAGCCAGUAUAGUAGAAUAAAUCAGCCAUAAAUCUCAUUUCCUAUAAACUUUUGCUGCCGAGUGAUCAGUUUUUGCAUGUCUAUUACUUGCAUAUUUUGAAAAAACUGUCGUACAACUCCUCCUGAAGGAAUACCAUAUCUUUAUGAACCUUUUUUCUUACCAGUAAUGCUUGCAUGCUUG